AACCUUUGCUGUCUUGGGACGGAUCACCACUGCAAGAGGGGAAGUUGCUACUGUGAUGAAUUCUGCCAUGUGGCACCAGACUGCCACCCAGACCACAGUGUCCUCUGCAACCCUGGUAACUCACAUACAGGCCCGAUUCCACCGACAGCAAAGCUGGAUGCUAUGGCUGGCAGAGGCAAACCCUUUGCCUGCACUUCAGGCCAAAGCCGGGAUGUGGCCUAGAUGGUUCCUAAGGUCCCUGACAAUCCUGAGAUCUUGCAUCUUGUCUAUUUCAGGUCAAAGCUUCUCAGAUGACCAAGAUGGUGCUGCAGAUGGUGCUGAGGAUGGAGAACCCACCAAGCCCCGCUAGGAGCCACCUAGACUGGAUGCAGAGCAUGGUGAGCUCCCUGCAGGUUCUCUAAGAAGGGGUGGAUGGCAGCCUGCUCCUUGCCUUUGUGCCCUCCAGGCCCCAAAGUCAGGGAACCAAAAGAAGAAAGGGGCCGUAGCUAGGGCAGAGCUCCACUGCAAUGAUUGUUUUAGGGGUAGGAGCCAGGAUUGCCGUCUGUGGACACUGAAAUUUGAAUCUCAUAUACUUUUGUGACAAAACAUUCUUCCUCUUUUGUUCUUCUCCUACCAUCUAAAAAUGUAGAAAACAUUCUUAGCCUAUGAGUUGCACAAAAACAGGCAGUGGCCAGAUUUGGCCCAUAGACCAUAGUUUGCUGACUUCUGCCCUAAAUCAUCCUCCAUUUCUUUCCUUCUGUGUCCUUGUUACUGACAAAGCCACUUUCCCUAAAAUGGGGUCUUUCCCUGUUUGGUGCCAUGAAGCCAAUAUGCAAAACCGAAAGUGAGCCUCAAGCAGUGCAGGCUUUAUUUGGUGGCCAUGGAAUUGAGAAGUGAGAGCUUGGCUCACAAAUCAACUUUUCUGCUCGUGAGACCCAGGAAGUCACAGAUACAGGGCAUCUUUAGUGAAGGGGCUGAGCAUUAAAAGCAAGGGGAGGAGUGGCCAGGUGCAAUGGCUCACUCCCAUAAACCCAGAACUUUGGGAGGCCAAAAUGAGAGGAUUGCUGAGACCAGGAGUUCGAGACCAUCCUGGUCAACAUAGUGAUACACCCCCAUCUCUACAAAAAUAAAAAUGAAAAAAGCA
ensembl:lncRNA MUC20-OT1 MUC20 overlapping transcript